rnacentral:misc_RNA from 1 species
UGGUUCUGGCAUCGAUGAAGAACGCAGCGAAAUGCGAUAAGUAAUGCGAAUUGCAGAAUCCGUGAGUCAUCGAAUCUUUGAACGCACAUUGCGCCCCUUGGUAUUCCGGGGGGCAUGCCUGUUCGAGCGUCAUUAUCACCCCUCAAGCCCGGCUUGGUGUUGGACGCAGGCGGGGCCUCCGGGCCUCGCCCGUCUCAAAGGUAAUGACGGCGUCUGUGAGGACUCCUGUACACUGAGCUUUCGGGCACGUACUAGGCUAGAACUCCAGGCCCGGUCUUUUCAGGCGUUGGGCUCACGCCCCGCGCCUAACUUUUUCACAAGGUUGACCUCGGAUCAGGUAGGAAUACCCGCUGA